ACAACGGUUCUUCUUAGAGCCACACAUUUGAAAAAGUCAAUUGCUU
rfam:Nematostella vectensis strain CH2 x CH6 NEMVEscaffold_288_Cont22473, whole genome shotgun sequence.